AGUGAACGCUGGCGGUAGGCCUAACACAUGCAAGUCGAACGGCAGCACAGUAAGAGCUUGCCCUUACUGGUGGCGACUGGCGGAUGAGUGAGGCAUACAUCGCAAUCUACUUUUUCGUGGGUGAUAACGUAAGGACACUUAUGCUAAUACCGCAUACGACCUACGGGUGAAAUCAGGAGAGCUUCGCACCUUUCGCGAUUCUUUUAGCCGAUGCCGGAUUAGCUAGUUGGCUGGGUAAAGGCCCACCAAGGCAACGAUACGUAGCUGGUCUGAGAGGAUGAUCAGCCACACUGGAACUGAGACACGGUCCAGACUCCUACGGGAGGCAGCAGUGGGGAAUAUUGGACAAUGGGCGCAAGCCUGAUCCAGCCAUACCGCGUGGGUGAAGAAGGCCUUCGGGUUGUAAAGCCCUUUUGUUAGGAAAGAAAAGCAGCAGGUUAAUACCCCGCUGUUCUGACGGUACCCAAAGAAUAAGCACCGGCUAACUUCGUG
rnacentral:rRNA from 1 species